GAGGAAUCUAAAGUUUUUGUUUUGUUUUGUGUACUAGGUGAAGUUCCUAGGGCAUACACCGUAUGGUUACUGUAUAUGAUUUUGUUACACUGGAUAUUGUAUAUAUGCUUAUCUGAACUAGGGAAGGGAAAGAA